AGGACUACUGGGGUAUCUAAUCCUGUUUGCUCCCCACGCUUUCGCACCUCAGCGUCAGUAUCUUCCCAGAUCGCCGCCUUCGCCACUGGUGUUCCUCCCGAUAUCUACGAAUUUCACCUCUACACCGGGAAUUCCGCGAUCCUCUUAAGUACUCAAGCUCAGCAGUUUUGGAUGCACUUCCUUGGUUGAGCCGAGGGAUAUCACAUCCAACUUGCUAAGCCGCCUACGUGCGCUUUACGCCCAGUAAAUCCGAACAACGCUAGCCCCCUUCGUAUUACCGCGGCUGCUGGCA
rnacentral:misc_RNA from 1 species